AUUGAACGCUGGCGGCAGGCCUAACACAUGCAAGUCGAACGAGUGGCGGACGGGUGAGUAAUGUCUGGGAAACUGCCCGAUGGAGGGGGAUAAAUACUGGAAACGGUAGCUAAUACCGCAUACCCUCGGAUGUGCCCAGAUGGGAUUGGCUAGUGGGUGGGGUAACGGCUCACCUAGGCGACGACCCCUAGCUGGUCUGAGAGGAUGACCGGCCAAACUGGACCUGAGACACGGCCCAGACUCCUACGGGAGGCACCAUUGGGGAAUAUUGGCCAAUGGGCGCAGGCCUGAUGCAGCCAUGCCGCGUGUAUGAAGAAGGCCUUCGGGUUGUAAAGUACUUUCAGCGGGGAGGCGUUACCCGCAGAAGAAGCACCGGCUAACUCCGUGCCAGCAGCCGCGGUAAUUC
rnacentral:rRNA from 1 species